GAUGAACGCUGGCGGCGUGCCUAAUACAUGCAAGUCGAGCGAACAGACGAGGAGCUUGCUCCUCUGACGUUAGCGGCGGACGGGUGAGUAACACGUGGAUAACCUACCUAUAAGACUGGGAUAACUUCGGGAAACCGGAGCUAAUACCGGAUAAUAUAUUGAACCGCAUGGUUCAAUAGUGAAAGACGGUUUUGCUGUCACUUAUAGAUGUAUCCGCGCCGCAUUAGCUAGUUGGUAAGGUAACGGCUUACCAAGGCAACGAUGCGUAGCCGACCUGAGAGGGUGAUCGGCCCCCCUGGAACUGAGACACGGUCCAGACUCCUAAGGGAGGCAGCAGUAGGGAAUCUUCCGCAAUGGGCGAAAGCCUGACGGAGCAACGCCGCGUGAGUGAUGAAGGUCUUCGGAUCGUAAAACUCUGUUAUUAGGGAAGAACAAAUGUGUAAGUAAAUAUGCACGUCUUGACGGUACCUAAUCAGAAAGCCACGGCUAACUACGUG
rnacentral:rRNA from 1 species